GUCGCUCGUUGUCAGGGUGGAGCCAAUACUGGACACACUAUUUACAAUGCAGAGGGGAAGAAGUUUGCCCUUCAUCUUGUUCCUUUGGGUAUUCUUAAUGAGGAAACUGUGUGUGUGAUUGGUAAUGGGGUUGUAGUGCAUUUACCAGGGUUGUUUGAAGAAAUUGAUGGCCUUGAAUCUAAUGGGGUCUCCUGCAAAGCUUUAAGAUUCCAAGGUUUUAAGUAUAGCUCAGACAUGCUCAAAGAAGAAGUUGAAAAAUACAAGAGAUUUGCUGAGAGGUUGGAACCCUUCAUUGCUGACACUGUGUAUGUCGUGAAUGAAUCCAUUGCACAAAAGA